rnacentral:rRNA from 1 species
GAUGAACGCUGGCGGCGUGCCUAAUACAUGCAAGUCGAGCGAACAGACGAGGAGCUUGCUCCUCUGACGUUAGCGGCGGACGGGUGAGUAACACGUGGAUAACCUACCUAUAAGACUGGGAUAACUUCGGGAAACCGGAGCUAAUACCGGAUAAUAUAUUGAACCGCAUGGUUCAAUAGUGAAAGACGGUUUUGCUGUCACUUAUAGAUGGAUCCGCGCCGCAUUAGCUAGUUGGUAAGGUAACGGCUUACCAAGGCAACGAUGCGUAGCCGACCUGAGAGGGUGAUCGGCCCCCCUUGAACCGAGACCCCGUCCCGACUCCUACGGGAGGCCGCAGUAGGGAAUCUUCCGCAAUGGGCGGAAGCCUGACGGAGCCACGCCGCGUGAGUGAUGAAGGUCUUCGGAUCGUAAAACUCUGUUAUUAGGGAAGAACAAAUGUGUAAGUAACUAUGCACGUCUUGACGGUACCUAAUCAGAAAGCCACGGCUAACUACGUG